rnacentral:rRNA from 1 species
AUUGAACGCUGGCGGCAGGCCUAACACAUGCAAGUCGAACGAGUGGCGGACGGGUGAGUAAUGUCUGGGAAACUGACUGAUGGAGGGGGAUAACUACUGGAAACGGUAGCUAAUACCGCAUACCAGCGGCGCUGCCCAGAUGGGAUGAGCUAGUAGGGGGGGGAACGGCUCACCUAGGCGACGAUCCCUAGCUGGUCUGAGGGGAUGACCAGCCCACCGGGAACGGAGACACGGUCCAGACUCCUCCGGGAGGCAGCAGUGGGGAAUAUUGCACAAUGGGCGCAAGCCUGAUGCAGCCAUGCCGCGUGUAUGAAGAAGGCCUUCGGGUUGUAAAGUACUUUCAGCGGGGAGGCGUUACCCGCAGAAGAAGCACCGGCUAACUCCGUGCCAGCAGCCGCGGUAAUAC